AAAUGUCGCUUGGGGAGCUUGUCAGACAGGCUGAGAGGAAAUUAAAAAUUUCGACCCUUAUACCUGAUGCGGAUAAUGCCGCCGUAGGGAAUCUUUUUAUUGCCGUU
rfam:Roseburia sp. CAG:303 genomic scaffold, scf522